AAGAACCUAUAAUACCUCCCCCCAAAACAAAAGCUAGAACUUGACAAUACACCACAUCUUAACACGAUUUCCCCAGUUUAUUCCGUCUGUCUCCACCCGAGGCAGCUAGAAUCCUGAAUCUCAUGUCCGUUGUUUUGUCGCUUUCCUUUACAGAUUGCUUUACUCCAUCUUUAGGUAUUCCUUCAAAGUGUAUACAUUACCUGUAUACAACCCUCCUUGACUUAUGACGGGGUUACAUCCUGAUAAACCCAUCAUAAGUUGAAAAUACUGAAAGUUGAAAAUGCAUUGAAGGGGCCGGCCUGGUGGUGCAGCGGUUAAGUUCGCACGUUCCACUUCUUGGCGGCCUGGGGUUCACCGGUUUGGAUCCCGGGUGCGGACAUGGCACCACUUGGCAAAAGCCAUGCUGUGGUAGGCAUCCCACAUAUAAAGUAGAGGAAGAUGGGCACGGAUGUUGGCUCAGGGCCAGUCUUCCUCAGCAAAAAGAGGAGGAUUGGCAGUAGUUAGCUCAGGGCUAAUCUUCCACACACACACACACAAAAGCAUUUAAUACACCUAACCUACCAAACAUCAUAGCUUAGCCUAGCCUGUCUUAAAUGUGCUCAAAACACUUGCUUACGGUUGGGCAAAAUCAUCUAACACAAAGCCUAUUUUAUAAUAAAGUGUUGAAUAGCUCAUGUAAUUUAUUGAAUACUCACUGAAAGUGAAAAACAGAAUGGUUGGAGGGGUGCAGAUGGUUGUAAGUGUAUCUGUUGCUUACCCUCGUAAUCACGGGGCUGCCUAGGAGCUGCGGCUGCCGCUGCCCAGCGUCACGCGAGAGGAUCAGACUGCAUAUCGCCAGCCCAAGAAAACGUCAAAAUUCAAAAUACGAAGUAUGGUUUCUACUAAAUGCGUAUUGCUUUUGCACCAUCGUUAAGUUGAAAAAUGAAGUUAUGUCUGGCGCUAGAGCAGUCAUCUUGGACCAUGAGGUAGAAGCCAUGCACUGAAGAUGAAGAAACCACAGAGAAGGCACCUGGUUUAUUUGUCUAUACCCAGGCUAAAAGGACACUAUCCUAAUUACUGUCGCUUUAAAAUAAACCACGAUAGCUGCUAGGGCAAGAGUGUGCACUUCUCAUCUUCCACCAUCUUUCCUGCUGGCUGCAGAAGUUAUGUCUGGCGCUAGAGCAGUCAUCUUGGACCAUGAGGUAGAAGCCAUGCACUGAAGAUGAAGAAACCACAGAGAAGGCACCUGGUUUAUUUGUCUAUACCCAGGCUAAAAGGACACUAUCCUAAUUACUGUUGCUUUAAAAUAAACCACGAUAGCUGCUAGGGCAAGUAUUCCCAUUUUAUUUUCCUCCUUUAACAGUGUCUGGGCUACUCUUGGUCCUUUGAACUACUGGAAUUUUAAAUCUGUCAACUGUGGUAAAGUGAAGAUGGUCAUAAAUUCUCUGACACUCCUCCUAUUGAGAGGUGGUCUAUUUGCCUUUCCCUUGAAUCUGGCUGGUCUUAGUGACUUAUGGUGGAAGCGGUGCUGUGUGACUUCUGAAACUGGGUCAGAAGAUGCCUUUCAGCUUCCACCUUGGUCUCUUGGAAAGCUCACUCUCCAGACACUCUCUCAAAUGACUCCCUCUCGGGUUACUCCCUCACCAUCCUGUGAGAUGUCCAGGUCACAUAGACAGGCCAUUUGUAGACGCUAUAAUUGACAGCUCCAGCUGUGUUUCUAGCCUCCAGCCAGAUUCAACAGCAUCAUGUGAGGGCGCCAUCUUAGACAGCCAGCCUUCAGAUGACUCCAGUCCUGUAGUCAACACCUGUCUGCAACCACAUUAGACGCUCUAAGAAAGGAUUAUCCAGCUGACCCCUUCCUGGAUUCCUAACCCACAAAAUUGUGAGCA
ensembl:lncRNA